rnacentral:rRNA from 1 species
AUCGAAUAAAUCACUGAUAAUUAACGGCCUCUCUGAGAUCCUUGCACUAACAAAACAAGAAAACCAUGCACUUAAUACCGUUAAUCUAACACAAGAACAUUACAGGAAAGAUUAAAAGACGCAGAAGGAACUCGGCAAACUACGAACCCCGCCUGUUUACCAAAAACAUCGCCUCUUGCUAACAAACAUGUAUAAGAGGUCCAGCCUGCCCAGUGACUAUAUGUUCAACGGCCGCGGUAUUCUGACCGUGCAAAGGUAGCGUAAUCACUUGUCUUUUAAAUAAAGACUGGUAUGAACGGCACCACGAAGGUUCAACUGUCUCCUGCAUCCAAUCCAUUAAACUGACCUCCCCGUGCAGAGGCGGGGAUUUAACCAUAAGACGAGAAGACCCUAUGGAGCUUUAAACUAAAGGCAACUGCCAACUACAACCUAACCCAUAAGGAAAUAAUAAUAAAACAAGCAGAAAUUGACCUAAAGUUUUCGGUUGGGGCGACCACGGAGAAUAAAAAAUCCUCCUUGAAGAAUAGGGCCUACUACCCUUAAC